rnacentral:rRNA from 1 species
CACGUAGGGUGCGAGCGUUGUCCGGAAUUAUUGGGCGUAAAGAGCUCGUAGGCGGUGUGUCGCGUCGGCCGUGAAAACCUGCAGCUUAACUGUGGGCUUGCGGUCGAUACGGGCAUCACUGGAGUUCGGCAGGGGAGACUGGAAUUCCUGGUGUAGCGGUGAAAUGCGCAGAUAUCAGGAAGAACACCGGUGGCGAAGGCGGUCCUCUGGGCAUUACCUGACGCUGAGGAGCGAAAGUGUGGGGAGCGAACAGG